ensembl:rRNA 5S_rRNA 5S ribosomal RNA
UCUGGCCACACAUCCCUGAAUGUGCCUGAUCUCGGAAGCUAAGCAGGGUUGCGCCUGGUUAAUACUUGGAUGGGAGACUUAACUAAGUGUGGCCAAAG